CGGGUGAGUAACGCGUGGAUAACCUGCCUCACACAGGGGAUAACAGUUAGAAAUGACUGCUAAUACCGCAUAAGCGCACAGUACCGCAUGGUACAGUGUGAAAAACUCCGGUGGUGUGAGAUGGAUCCGCGUCUGAUUAGGUAGUUGGUGGGGUAACGGCCCACCAAGCCGACGAUCAGUAGCCGACCUGAGAGGGUGACCGGCCACAUUGGGACUGAGACACGGCCCAA
rnacentral:rRNA from 1 species